rnacentral:lncRNA from 1 species
UUAUCACCGCAACAUAUUUAGAAUUUCAAACAGUCUCGAAAUCAUUUUACAUUCAAAUAAAUGCAAACUCCAAAUCUUAGAAGGAGAAAAACCAUUAACUAUACAACUAACUAAUCUAUGCAAAUUAACAAUAAACGAAAAAUCAUUCAAAACAUGUGGAAAUCAUGAAGAUGCACUGAAAGUCCAGCAUUUAUUAUCAUUUCUACCAAUAAUUACACACCAAUUAUGUAAAGCUAACUUAGACCAAAAAAAGUCACGAUAAACUAGAAAACAAAUGAGAAAAACAACAACGGAAGGCUUCUCAUGCUUCAAUUCUCCAAUUGAUUCAUUUCUCAAGUUUUCAACAUCACAAUCAACAGGACAGAAUGGCGUACCUGGGAAAGUAAAAAUGAAAGGAAAGAGGGGGGAUCAGCAGAUCAGAAUAGCAAUCAGCAUGUACAACAGUAGAGACCAGCAGAAUCAGCUUAACUAGAGGACUAUGGAUGCAGUAAAUACAUCCUUACUCGAGCGAAUACUAAAAUAAACUUCAAAACCCAAGCUUCAACCACCAAUUUCAAUCCAUUUAAGCUAUAUUCAUCGGAAAAUCUUUUUAGAAAUGAAAAGACCUAAGAAAUCACUAGAGUAUCUCAAUGAAACAGUACUUUUUGCUUAGUUUGCUAUUUUGUAUUUUCAGGGUUUCUUAGCUCUCCAAAAUCUGACUUGAGCUGCAAGUAGCAAUGCAUUUAUAGGCAAGAUACUAGGGCAGCCUUGCGAGUUUAGUUAUUUACAAUUAUACCUUUGUGAAUUUUUGUUUUCGCUAGUUAGCCUUUCAUUUACUAACUUGUUGAUCAAGUUAACCUACUACAAUUUUGAAAUUUAAUUAAAAAAAACCCCACUAGAAGCUUCUCAAUCUACUAUCCAAAGCUUUCCUAAUCCGAACUACCCAAAUUACCCCUUACUACCCCUAUUUUUACUACAGAAAACUAAAUGGGUCAUGGGUCAAAUGACUCAAUAGUUAAACUAGGCCUGGGCUCAAAAAUCGGUCCGAAUUUCUUUGGAUAGAAUUAUGAAACAAAUUCAUGGCCCAAAUAGCACACAAUUUCACCAAUCCUAAGCUACAUUAAAGGGAUAAACUUAAACUAAAUAGACAAACAAACAAAGAACACAGAAAUUAACUAAGCUGUUAAGAAAUGAAUUUAGACAAACCGGGCAAGAAGAAUAAUAAAAAAAAAUGGAAAAGAAAGGUUAAAAGAAACAAAAACGGACAAUAAUCAAUUUUAUCUAAAAACUUGUACAUAUUUUAAAUUGUGUAACUUGAAAGAAAGGGAAGUAGAGGAGAGGAACAGUAGUUGAGAAAACAGAAUAAUAAACGGAAAAAAAAAUAAAGGCACUCACUGAAUUAGGCUCGACCUCGACUGACCUUCCGAUUUAAACCGCCAAACAAUAUCAAUCAUAUGUUCUUUGUCAAGAAUAGGCAAACAACAUCGCUUUGUGAUAAAGCCGGCCUUGAACGUUCAUAGACACUGGAGAGGUACCAUUGCAUGAAUGUAUUUCAACUUUGGCUUUUAGGGUUGAACCCUAUAUCUAGGAUUCGAGAAGUUUCAGUUGAAUUUUAGGGAGGAUGGUUUGAGAUUUGGGGAGAUGGGGUCAAGAUGGGUCUUUGAUGUUAUUUUGGUUGAGGUUUGAUGAGGCGUCGUCGGGCUUGCGGUGGGGAAAUGGUGGCGGCUAUUAGGGUUCUUGAAGAGAGAUGAUAGAAGAAGAUGAUGAGGGAUAUAUUUAAACUAGGUUUGAUUUAAAUUGUUCGGACAUAUUAAUGGGGAGUGGCAUGGGCAG